CGCGUAGGCGGGAUGGCAAGUCGGUCGUGAAAUCCUUCGGCUCAACCGAAGAACGUCGAUCGAUACUGCUGUUCUUGAGGGUUGCAGAGGAGACUGGAAUUCCCGGUGUAGCGGUGAAAUGUGUAGAGAUCGGGAGGAACACCGGUGGCGAAGGCGGGUCUCUGGGCAAUUCCUGACGCUGAGGCGCGAAAGCGUGGGGAGCAAACGGGAUUAGAUACCCCGGUAGUCCACGCUGUAAACGAUGACGACUAGGUGUGGGGGGGGGUUCAGUCCCUUCCGUGCCGCAGCUAACGCAUUAAGUCGUCCGCCUGGGGAGUACGGCCGCAAGGUUGAA
rnacentral:rRNA from 1 species